AAAGUGUCGAAGAUGUCUAGGAUUUAAAGCCUGAAAGAGGUUGAGUUGAUGUCCAGGAUUUCUGACCUCUCGGAGCUUAUUUUUUAUUUCUGCUUUUUAAUGUGUUUUUUGUUGAUGGGUUUUCAUUUUUAACGCUAUUCAAUCCAGUUUCAAGACUCAAUUUUUUUUUUGUCUGAUACUUUCAUCGAAUACCUAGGCUGCAUAAUUUGUUGAUGUUUGAAAUUUUUUCUCUACUGCAUUGUGUGAGCGUCUUUGCCAUAAAAUUUAAUGGUUUCAGAGUGUGUUUCUGUGUUAAUUGGAAGAUCCAGUUGCAUAUUGAAUGUUUUUAUUGAUGGGUUUUCCUUCAUGUUGUAAUUUUAUUUGAUCCAGUUUGAAAGCUUUUAGUUUUUUUAUUUUUAUUUUUUGUUCUUGCAUCAAAUACUUGGACUGUGUUGAGCUUUGAAAAUGUUUCUGUAGAGCAUUGUGUGAGUCUCUUUGUCAUAGAGUUGAAAGAGUUUCAGAGUUUGUUGAUGUGUUAAUUAGAAGAUCAAGUUUCAUAUAGUUACUUUUGGUUCUAAUCAACUUGAUCUUUGAGUUUUGUUGUGGUGUUUGUUCAUUUGUUUACAUUGUAUAUAAUUUAUUGAGGUUCUUUGUUUGGUUCUUAAGUUAUGAAUAUUGAAAUGGUAAGUAUAUCAAUUCGAACCAAAAGAGAGAUUGCAUAAAUAGUAAUUUUUUUUUAGAAAGUAGGAACUAGGAACUGCUUGCAUGUUGAAUUUCUGUUUUACAAUGCUCUUUACCUUUUUCUUUUUAUUCCCUCUUCUUUACCUUUUUCUUGUUGGAAUUGAUUCAGCACUAUUGUUGAUGUGUGUUUGCUUGGAAUGGAUGAUGUUUGCUUAGAAUGGAGGAUGUUUGCUCCAGUUUAUAAUGGAAUGGAUGUUGUUUACUUGGAAUGGGUGUUGUUUUUACUUAUAUUGUUUACAGGUUUACAGGAAUGGAGUUGCUAUUGGAAUGGAAAUGCUAGUGGCAUAGGAUGUUUACAGGUUUUCAGUUUAUGGAAAUGCUAGUGGAAUAGAAUGGAAAUGCUAGUGAAAUGAAAGUUUAAUUUGGAAUGGUUUACAGUUUAAAAUUUGAAAUGAAAAUGUAAUGUCUAUAUUUUUUUUGUUAUUUAAUUAUUUAAAUCCGUGGUCCUAAUGUGCUCAACAUAUCAUUAAAUAUGGGAGUAACAAGGACAAUCCUCUUUGGUAGCUUUUUCCUUUGUUUAGAAAUUAGUAAAGCAUAAGACUUAAAAUCAACAAUAAUGAUUAUUAUAAUCACUGUGUAUUUGUAAUAAUAUGAUUUUACUGACAUAAUGCACCCAAGUUGGUCUAAGACUAUGAGAACUGAGAAGAUGAUUGUCAAUUGAUGUAUUUCAAUCAUUAGAAUUCUGUUAGGACUUGUGAUUGCUUUAGUUGUAUGUAUUGCUGUUUUCUAUUUUAAAUUUUUUUUUUUUAUAGAAUUUUAGGGAUAAACUCUUGGGCUGAAGUUUUUACUAUAUGGGCUAGGGUAGUUUCAUAUGGUAACUACGUAUUAUUAGGGCCUCUCAUGAGAAAAUGAGAUGAUGCCUUUGAAAAGGAAUUAAAAUUGAAAUAUUUGGAAGAGAUGCGCUCUUCUUCUCUCUGCUUCUUGGCUUUUUUUCUUCUAUGUUAAAUUAAAUCUCUUUACUCUCUUUCUUCUCAUAUUUUUAUCUUCUCUUCCUCCCUCAUCUCUUGUUUGUAUCUUCUCUCUGUCCCAGGCUGUCUUUUGGGUUUCCAAGUCUGAGAAUUUGAAGGUAUUUUAAAAUGGUUUUUGGUUCAAGCUUCCUACCCAUGACCGACCGUGAACUUGUUAAAACAAUAGAUUUACACCCACAACCGAACCACAGCACAUGCAAAACUGUCCGUAGCUCGUCGGGUGGGUUCGGAUUGGACGGUUUGCCGGGUCUCCAGGUUAAAGAAGAACAAGUGCAACUUCAAAUGCAAUGGUAAUACCUUAGAAUGGCAGUGCUGCUCCAAAGUCACGCAUUCCUCAAAUGGUUGCUCAAACACUGGGUUUUGGCCAAAACUUGCUGCUGCUGGUGAUAGUAAUUGCACCCCCCAACAAAAAAAAAAAAUGGAGUAAAUUCUUGAGUUUUUAUUUAUUUAUUUAUGGGUACCUAGAAUUAUGGUUCAACAGUAAUAAUAAUAUACAUUCACAAAAAGAUCGUACACAAGCUGUAUUGAGAUUUAUCAUUUUUAAGUACUGUGCUCAUUUUUGACCUCCUAAUUACAAUGUCAUUGACACUGAGCUCUUAUGGCAUCUAACUGUUAACAGGGAAGUUACUUCCAAAA